ACCACCACAAGCGGAUCAACACUAGACUUACGCUUCUUUUGCCCGCAAACACCGUUAUUUUGGUUCACCAAACUAUUCACAGGAAAUUCAAUUCAACUAAAUUAGUAAUUAAAUAAUAUUUCAAUUAGUAAUACUACUUGAUUCUUAAACAGAAUAUGGUUUUGAUACCAUUCACACUCAGGAUAUACAACAGUUAUGCACACAACAAAUUCUGUCUAAGGACUCCAAGCAUAAAAACAAAAAUAUACCUUAAUUACAAAAAGUUGUUGAUUACAAUCAGACUUGUUGACAACAGAGCGAUGAUUACAAAGGAAUAGAUUUUUUAAAGGAGAGAGGUUAUAAAAACUAAGUGAAAUUUAGAGAACACUCUUUGCUAGCACUACUUGCUCUCUUGGGUUCUUGAGCUCUCCAGUUCUCAAGUUUUGCCUUGAGAUGAAGGUUGUCUUUCAAUUUAUAGAGAAAAUUUCGAAAUUGAGUCUUGAUGAAAUCCACAUGCUUGAAUAAUUACCAAUGUUUUAAAAACCGGACCGGACCGGCCGGUCGGACCGGUCCAACCGCCGACCGGUCAACUUUCCGAUUCGGUCCGUCUCAAUGAACCGUUUUAUGGUUGAACCGGCAUUGAACCGGUCGAACCGCUGAACCGGACAAACCGUCCGAUUUUUCACAAACCGGUCAAGCCUAUUUUCUACAAAAAUUUGUUUAAUAUUAAAGAGCCCAUUAUCCAUUGAGCCCAUUCCACACCCAUAACUAUUGAAACUCAAAUUAAUUAUAAGCACAAAGUUGGUUUAAACAACUGGGCCCAAACAAAUAAAACCUCAGCUUCUUAACAUGUCCCUUGGGCCAUGCCUUUCAAGCCCAAUUUGUUGGCUUGUUUAGCUU
rnacentral:lncRNA from 1 species